UUAACUGAAGAGUUUGAUCAUGGCUCAGAUUGAACGCUGGCGGCAGGCCUAACACAUGCAAGUCGAGCGGAAACGAUGGUAGCUUGCUACCAGGCGUCGAGCGGCGGACGGGUGAGUAACGCGUGAGAAUCUGCCCAUUUGUGGGGGAUAACUCGGGGAAACUCGAGCUAAUACCGCAUAAUCCCUACGGGGGAAAGCAGGGGACCUUCG
rnacentral:rRNA from 1 species